rnacentral:rRNA from 1 species
UCCGGAGGGGGCUAGCGUUGUUCGGAAUUACUGGGCGUAAAGCGCACGUAGGCGGAUAGUUAAGUUAGAGGUGAAAGCCCAGGGCUCAACCCUGGAACUGCCUUUGAUACUGGCUGUCUGGAGGUCGAGAGAGGUGAGUGGAAUUCCGAGUGUAGAGGUGAAAUUCGUAGAUAUUCGGAGGAACACCAGUGGCGAAGGCGGCUCACUGGCUCGAUACUGACGCUGAGGUGCGAAAGCGUGGGGAGCAAACAGG